rnacentral:rRNA from 1 species
AGCAGCCGCGGUAAUUCCAGCUCCAAUAGCGUAUAUUAAAGUUGUUGCAGUUAAAAAGCUCGUAGUUGAAUUUCGGGAUCAAUAUGUCGGUCGUGCCUUCGGUACGUACUGGUAUCAUUGGUCUCUCCUUUCUGACGAACCAUGAUGUCAUUAAUUUGGUGUUAUGGGGAGUUAGGACUGUUACUUUGAAAAAUUAGAGUGUUUAAAGCAAGCUAACGCUUGAAUACAUUAGCAUGGAAUAAUGAAAUAGGACGUUCGAUCCUAUUUUGUUGGUUUCUAGGAUUGACGUAAUGAUUAAUAGGGAUAGUUGGGGGC